AGUUGAACUGAAGCCCCCAGGAAGAGAGAUCAGAAUUUGCAAUGAAGACAUUGAAAUGGUGGGCAGUUGCUCUUUUUUAGAUUCAACUGUCAACAGUAAAGGAAGUAGCAGUCAAGAAAUGUUACACAGACUGACAUUUGGUAAAGAAGUAAUGAAGGAAAAAUAUUCAGAUGCUGAGAUGUAUUUAUACCUAAAGAGAUCAUAAUCAUAACUGAAGGAUCUUCUUGAAUGGGAAGCAAAAUAUCUUCAAAGAAAAACAAAGAAAUCCAACCAUGACUAUUAUACUUUUCUGGUUUCAGAGAAACUUUUUCCCAUGUAGGUCUGAGAUUGCAACCAUAAACUUUUUUCACACCCA